CAGCAGUAGCCGCGGUAAUACGGAGGGUGCAAGCGUUAAUCGGAAUUACUGGGCGUAAAGCGCACGCAGGCGGUCUGACAAGUCAGAUGUGAAAUCCCCGGGCUUAACCUGGGAACUGCAUUUGAAACUGUCAGGCUGGAGUCUUGUAGAGGGGGGUGGAAUUCCAGGUGUAGCGGUGAAAUGCGUAGAGAUCUGGAGGAAUACCGGUGGCGAAGGCGGCCCCCUGGACAAAGACUGACGCUCAGGUGCGAAAGCGUGGGGAGCAAACAGGAUUAGAUACCCCGGUAGUCCCUGUCUCUUAUCC
rnacentral:rRNA from 1 species